rnacentral:rRNA from 1 species
CAGUCGCCACGGGAAUACGAAGGGUGCAAGCGUUAAUCGGAUUUACUGGGCGUAAAGGGCGCGUAGGUGGUUAUUUAAGUGAGAUGUGAAAGCCCCGGGCUUAACCUGGGAACUGCAUCUUAUACUGGGUAACUGGAGUGCAGUAGAGGGUAGUGGAAUUUCCGGUGCAGCGGUGAAAUGCGUAGAUAUCGGAAGGAACACCAGUGGCGAAGGCGGCUACCUGGACUGAGACUGACACUGAGGCGCGAGAGCGUGGGGAGCAAACAGGAUUAGAUACCCGUGUAGUCCCUGUCUCUUAUAA